rnacentral:rRNA from 1 species
GACGUAGGAGGCGAGCGUUUGUCCGGAUUCAUUGGGCGUAAAGAGCACGCAGGCGGUUUGGCAAGUCGGAUGUGAAAACCCGGAGCUCAACUCCGGACCUGGCAUCCGAAACUGCCCCGACUAGAGGUAGGGUAGGGGAGAACGGAAUUCCUGGUGUAGCGGUGAAAAUGCGCAGAUAUCAGGAGGAACACCGGUGGCGAAGGCGGUUCUCCGGGCAUUACCUGACGCUGAGGAGCGAAAGUGUGGGGAGCGAACAGG